rnacentral:misc_RNA from 1 species
UAUGAAGAACGCAGUGAAAUGCGAUAAUUAAUGUGAAUUGCAGAAUUCAGUGAAUCAUCGAGUCUUUGAACGCACAUUGCGCCCCCUGGUAUUCCGGGGGGCAUGCCUGUCCGAGCGUCAUUGCUGCCCUCAAGCACGGCUUGUGUGUUGGGCUUCCGUCCCUGGCAACGGGGACGGGCCCAAAAGGCAGUGGCGGCACCAUGUCUGGUCCUCGAGCGUAUGGGGCUUUGUCACCCGCUCCCGUAGGUCCAGCUGGCAGCUAGCCUCGCAACCAAUCUUUUUAACCAGGUUGACCUCGGAUCAGGUAGGGAUACCCGCUGAACUUAAGCAUAUCAAUAAGCGGAGGA